UACGGAGGGUGCGAGCGUUAAUCGGAAUUACUGGGCGUAAAGGGUGCGUAGGUGGUCUAUUAAGUUAUGUGUGAAAUCCCUGGGCUUAACCUAGGAAGGCCAGAUAAGACUGAUAGACUUGAGUAUGGGAGAGGGUAGUGGAAUUUCCGGUGUAGCGGUGAAAUGCGUAGAGAUCGGAAGGAACACCGGUGGCGAAGGCGGCUACCUGGCCUAAUACUGACACUGAGGCACGAAAGCGUGGGGAGCAAACAGG
rnacentral:rRNA from 1 species